CUACGCUGCGAUAAGCCGUGGGGAGCUGCGAAGAAGCUUUGAUCCGCGGAUUUCCGAAUGGGGAAACCCACCUUCGAUAGCCGGAACUCCAAGACCUCGUGUCUUGGUGUUCGACCAGAUAAUGCGAGAAGCCAAAUCUUUCGAUUUCGAUCGAAGAGGUUUUGGAUUUCCGGUUAUCAAGAGAAGGUAUGAGACUUCUGAAUAAAAUAGGAGGUUUCAAGCAAACCCAGGGAACUGAAACAUCUAAGUACCUGGAGGAAAGGACAUCAACAGAGACUCCGUUAGUAGUGGCGAGCGAACGCGGACCAGGCCAGUGAUACAUCAAAGACAAUCGGAACCAGUCAGGAAAGCUGGGCCUCAGAGGGUGAUAGCCCCGUACGAGUAAUGCGAUGAUGUAUCCUCGAGUAAGGCGGGACACGUGCAAUCCUGUCUGAACACGGGGGGACCACCCUCCAAGCCUAAGUACUCCUCAGCGACCGAUAGC
rnacentral:rRNA from 1 species